GCGAUGACUACAAGAUUGGUCCGUCCUUUCACCUGCCAUCGAUCUACCAUAAUUUCUCAAGAAUUUAAGUCAAUUGGAUCUUAGCAGAGCGAGCAGACUAAGUUGCUUGACUUUGGAAGGAUAGUGAGAGCACCUUCCAGUCAUCACAUGGAAACAUGGUUGGGCCCUUUGACUCAAUGGCCAUGACAAUGGAUGUGCAGCUUCAAGGCUAAGGACAUGAUCAUAAUGACAAAGAAGUCAUGAAAUUCAUUUAUUUGAGUGGUAAGAGAAGGAUUCACGUGAGAAGACAAAUAGUGGGUGUCGAGACCAGCAACCUUGCUGUCUCCGCACCAUCCCUAGGGUGCACGCCCACAACUCACCUUGGAUUAUUAAGGUGCUCUAGGAGAUAAGGAGUUUCUUAUUUACUAUUCUGGCAUUCUGAGAAGUUGUUCCAUGGGAAGAAGGAGCUCCAGUUUCAUGAUGCAUACGAAGAGAUUAUCCACCAGGUAUAUUUCACUUGCGCGAGGAGCUCCAUUUGAUGAAACAGGUUAAGGCAUCAUCCACCAUGUAUAUUUUGCUUCUGCAUAAGCUUCAACCAGUUUUAUCUACAAUUGUCUUUAUUUUUGUCUCCAAUAUAUCUUAUUUGCUGGCUACGAAGUACCAGUUGAUAUAUCACUUGUAUUACUUUCCGGAUUGUCAGGCUGCCAAAUCCACAUUUCUCGCUCUAUGGACAUGUCAAGGCAUCAUCCACUAUAUCGUCUGACAGGCUGCCAAAUCUACGCUUUUUUUCUCUAGGGCGUCUGUUCAGCCACAAUGGACUUUGAUUGUUGAAUACUCAAAAACUUCUUGCAUUCA